rnacentral:lncRNA from 1 species
CCUCUCCAGACCGCUCACCUCAGUUUCCUUCCAUUGUACAACCAGGGCAGUAAGCAUAAUUUUGCCUUAACUAUCUAUUCUAGACUCAAGUCUGGCCACAUAGCACUAAUGGACAAGCCAUACAUUUGGAGAGACUCCAAGAAAUCCAUCCCAAGCCCUGAAUGGUCCUGGCCCCAUUCCAGAAUUUUACAAACUUUCCACAAAUUGUGAUUCCAGACACGUUCAUACCUUGGCCCCCAGGAUAAUGGAAGCCACAAAAGAGACAGAAAUUAAAAUGUCAGCCCAGCUGGGUCCACAUUGUAGGCCAGUAAUUACAGUGGAACCCUUUGCCUCUUCGAUCACCUGAGUGGAGCACAUCUGUGCCUCCUGCAAAAAAGGAUAACAGAGUAAUUCAGAGCAGUUUUUUUUUUUUUUAAAGAUAUCCCUUAACUCAGUGUAAGUAGAGUGCGCUACUUAACAAUGGCAACUAAGGUUUUAAUAAGCCACAGGAAAACUUUUAAAAGCGAGGUGAGAAGCAGAGAUCAGCCUUCUGAUGAGCUUUGUAAUUCAGUGACCACUGUCAUCACUCAAGACCUAAAUUACCUGAAAUGUGUCAUCAAGGCCUCAGCAGCAAGUAAAAGAAAGCGUUGUUAUUCUCUGCCUGAGAAAAGAGUUACUGCCCAAACCUUUCAGCUACAGCAGAUUCUGAAGGACGAUUUGUAUGCCACGUCACUACGGAUAGGGAAAAGGAUGUCCACAGCCAAGGUGACAUCUGAGAGGUCAUAUACUUUGUGGGAUCAUGAUAGAAGUUCAAAACAUCAGCCUGAGAAAGGUGCUGAUUUCCAGUGUCUGUGAUGUUACCAUCCCUGAGUUUUUCCAGCUUUGAAACUGAGCGCUCCAAGCACUUGGAUCCCUUUUCUUCGGCUACCAUGCCAGGGAAACACUGAGAUGACUUUGGCCAAAAUAACCUUUCUGCCCAUUUAUAUCCUAAUCCAGAGAAGCAGCCGGUUGUGUUACCAAAGGAAACUGAUGUUUGGUCAUGAAGGAGUGUGAUGAAACUUUCCCUGUAUCUUUUUCUCUCUCCAUAUAACAAGAUGGAGAUGGGUUGUUUUCUUAAAGUGCUUGUCACCUGCUUUUUGAUUGUUGUUUUACUUGGCUGCUUUCUCCGCGAGAUUAUAGGUUUUAUGAGGACGGUUUUCCCCCUCAACCUAUCUUCAAUACAACAACAACUUUUUUUUUUUUUGAGAAACGAAUAAAGAAAAUCUUCUAGUCUAUGUUAUGUGAAUA